AACGAACGCUGGCGGCAGGCCUAACACAUGCAAGUCGAACGCCCCGCAAGGGGAGUGGCAGACGGGUGAGUAACGCGUGGGAACCUUCCCAGUGGUACGGAAUAACCCAGGGAAAACUGAGCUAAUACCGUAUACGCCCGAAAGGGGAAAGAUUUAUCGCCAUUGGAUGGGCCCGCGUCGGAUUAGCUAGUUGGUGAGGUAACGGGUCACCAAGGCGACGAUCCGUAGCUGGGCUGAGAGGAUGAUCAGCCACACUGGGACUGAGACACGGCCCAGACUCCUGCGGGAGGCAGCAGUGGGGAAUAUUGGACAAUGUGCGCAAGCCUGAUCCAGCCAUGCCGCGUGAGUGAAGAAGGUCUUCGGAUUGUAAAGCUCUUUUGGCGGGGACGAUAAUGACGGUACCCGCAGAAUAAGCCCCGGCUAACUUCGUGCCAGCCGCCGCGGUAACAC
rnacentral:rRNA from 1 species